rnacentral:rRNA from 1 species
AGAGCGAACGCUGGCGGCAGGCCUAACACAUGCAAGUCGAACGGACCCUUCGGGGUUAGUGGCGGACGGGUGAGUAACACGUGGGAACGUGCCUUUUGGUUCGGAAUAGCUCCUGGAAACGGGUGGUAAUGCCGAAUGUGCCCUUCGGGGGAAAGAUUUAUCGCCAUUAGAGCGGCCCGCGUCUGAUUAGCUAGUUGGUAAGGUAAUGGCUUACCAAGGCGACGAUCAGUAGCUGGUCUGAGAGGAUGACCAGCCACAUUGGGACUGAGACACGGCCCAAACUCCUACGGGAGGCAGCAGUGGGGAAUCUUGCGCAAUGGGCGAAAGCCUGACGCAGCCAUGCCGCGUGAAUGAUGAAGGUCUUAGGAUUGUAAAAUUCUUUCACCGGGACGAUAAUGACGGUACCGGAGAAGAAGCCCGCUAACUUCGCGCCAGCAGCCGC